GGUGAUGUCUCCUUGCCGGUAUCAAUGGAGGCACUCGGCCAUGCUGUGGGUGAAAUGAACCUUAGACACUAGUUGUCAAGAGUGUGACGUGAGGAGGGGUUCGAUGCC
rnacentral:ncRNA from 1 species